AGAAACCCGAAAACAAGUUUAUCCUGCAACACUUACACAGGCAGGCCAUGUUGCAUAAAAAUCCUGGCAUCCCUUUCCCUUCCCACCAAAGACACUCUAAUACUAUAUCAUUACAUAUGUAACAGCAUCAAUCUUUCUGCCCCCUCCCCCUAGCCAAAACCCCUAAAUUGACAUUUUGACGAAUCUUCUACGCUGUUCAAGGAAAACCCAAUGAUCCUUGGUCUCCUCACAUACAAGGAAGGCCUCCUCUAACAAGCUUAUACUAAAAAGUAACCAACUUGCAAAUAAUUCUUUUGUGCUCUCACAUCCUCAGACUUCCAACAUUGAAAUCUUGAGGCUUCAACCUAUCCAAAAAUCUAAGUCUUCAACACUGAUUCACAUGGAACCCAUAUUACAACUUCUGCACCAAAAUUUGGAAAAGAGUGACGAUACAAUCACAUAGUCUCAAAUUUAAGACCCAACUAACCUAUUUAGAAACUAAUCAAAUGGGUCAAAUAUCAGGAUCAAAUAUUUAAGAAAAGUAACACUAGGUUAGAGAAAACAUGCCCCCCACCCCCCCAAAUGCAAUAGGAAAAAAAGGAUCUUAUAUGGCCACGAAGAACCUAAUCAAUGCAUAAAGGAAAUCAACAGACCAAAUUUGAAGAAAACAGCAAUAAUCCACAUAGAACAUACCAUGAUAAAGUAUAGCACAAUCUAUUUAAUUAACAAAACUGCAAACAUGCUAUAAAGUAUUUUGCAAAUAUUCAACAAACAAUAUAGAUGAAAUCCUAAAGAAAUACCAAUCAAGGAAAUCAAUUAUGCUUACCUGCAGAAAUGGUCGACGGAGGAGGAGUUCAGCAAAUAUACAGGCUGCAGCCCAAACAUCAACCCCAGAACCAUAUUGUUUGGUGCCAAAAAGCAGCUCAGGCGCUCUAUACCAUCGAGCAAAGACUUGGUGAGUGAACUUGCGAUCUGGGCUUCCAAAUAUGCGUGCCAAACCAAAAUCUGCAAGUUUAAGCUGUCCAUUAGAUGCUAUCAACAAGUUGUUUGGCUUCAUAUCUCUAUGCAAAACCCAUUUCCUAUGGCAAUAAGCCAGUCCUUUCAAUGUCAUCUGAAAGUAUGAUUUUAUGUCAGCCGGUGAAAGAAAUAUAUUUCGAUCACGAAUAACUGCUUCAAGAUCAGUCUCCAUGAACUCGAACACAAGAUGCAAGUUCCCUUUGUGAGGGAAUGCAUCAAUCAACUCAAUUAUAUUUGGGUCUUUAAGCUCUUUAAGCAGUUUGAUCUCUCUAAGUGCUGUAAAAUUAACCCCCUCCUUUUGCUUCCCAAGC
rnacentral:misc_RNA from 1 species